rnacentral:rRNA from 1 species
UGGCUCAGGACGAACGCUGGCGGCGUGCCUAAUACAUGCAAGUAGAACGCUGAAGGAGGGAGCUUGCUUCUUCUGGAUGAGUUGCGAACGGGUGAGUAACGCGUAGGUAACCUGCCUGAUAGCGGGGGAUAACUAUUGGAAACGAUAGCUAAUACCGCAUAAGAGGUAAUAACACAUGUUAUUAGUUUAAAAGGGGCAAUUGCUCCACUAUCAGAUGGACCUGCGUUGUAUUAGCUAGUUGGUAAGGUAACGGCUUACCAAGGCGACGAUACAUAGCCGACCUGAGAGGGUGAUCGGCCACACUGGGACUGAGACACGGCCCAGACUCCUACGGGAGGCAGCAGUAGGGAAUCUUCGGCAAUGGGGGCAACCCUGACCGAGCAACGCCGCGUGAGUGAAGAAGGUUUUCGGAUCGUAAAGCUCUGUUGUAAGAGAAGAACGGAUGUGGGAGUGGAAAAUCCAUGUCGUGACGGUAUCUUACCAGAAAGGGACGGCUAACUACGUGCCAGCAGCCGCGGUAAUACGUAGGUCCCGAGCGUUGUCCGGAUUUAUUGGGCGUAAAGCGAGCGCAGGCGGUUUCAUAAGUCUGAAGUUAAAGGCAGUGGCUUAACCAUUGUACGCUUUGGAAACUGUGAGACUUGAGUGCAGAAGGGGAGAGUGGAAUUCCAUGUGUAGCGGUGAAAUGCGUAGAUAUAUGGAGGAACACCGGUGGCGAAAGCGGCUCUCUGGUCUGUAACUGACGCUGAGGCUCGAAAGCGUGGGGAGCAAACAGGAUUAGAUACCCUGGUAGUCCACGCCGUAAACGAUGAGUGCUAGGUGUUGGGUCCUUUCCGGGACUCAGUGCCGCAGCUAACGCAUUAAGCACUCCGCCUGGGGAGUACGACCGCAAGGUUGAAACUCAAAGGAAUUGACGGGGGCCCGCACAAGCGGUGGAGCAUGUGGUUUAAUUCGAAGCAACGCGAAGAACCUUACCAGGUCUUGACAUCCCGAUGCCCGCUCUAGAGAUAGAGUUUUUCUUCGGAACAUCGGUGACAGGUGGUGCAUGGUUGUCGUCAGCUCGUGUCGUGAGAUGUUGGGUUAAGUCCCGCAACGAGCGCAACCCUUAUUGUUAGUUGCCAUCAUUCAGUUGGGCACUCUAGCGAGACUGCCGGUAAUAAACCGGAGGAAGGUGGGGAUGACGUCAAAUCAUCAUGCCCCUUAUGACCUGGGCUACACACGUGCUACAAUGGCUGGUACAACGAGUCGCAAGUCGGUGACGGCAAGCUAAUCUCUUAAAGCCAGUCUCAGUUCGGAUUGUAGGCUGCAACUCGCCUACAUGAAGUCGGAAUCGCUAGUAAUCGCGGAUCAGCACGCCGCGGUGAAUACGUUCCCGGGCCUUGUACACACCGCCCGUCACACCACGAGAGUUUGUAACACCCGAAGUCGGUGAGGUAACC